CUUAAAACUUUAACUGGAGGCACAAUUUAAGAUUUAUAUGCGCCUAAUAAAAACUAUUUCUAAGGUUUGUGGAACACAAUAUUUAGUUGAAUGAAUUUGAAGUGCACUAAAUAGAAAACAAUAUGCUGCACAUAUAAUUUAAAAGCUUGUCAUAAAGCAAAAAUAACAACAAAAACCUUCAGCCGGAAAAAUCUGCUAGACAAAUUUGCUCGGAAAUCAAUAUCAGCUUCACCGGCAUUACCAUAUCAGUAAUUGAUUAAACGGAGUGAAACGAAAAAUGCGAUGAAGAAUUGAAAUUAAGUGCCUGCCGAACAGCUCCAUCCUGGCAAUUGAGGUUAACUUUUCCCGAAGCUCUUAACCCUACUGUUUUUCGCUAUAAUAUGAAACAGGAACAUCUCAACAGCGGAAGUUAUUCUGUUUCUAUUGCAGGAUGCUACAGGUCAAACGUGGAACAUGCAGUCGUACAUUCUUCAGGAACUAAUGUUGAACAGAAUGCGGUUGUUGUCCACCAACAGAAGGGUCCCAUUUUUCGAGACAAUUGGUAAUUCAAACUUCAUACCAAAAGUGAAGGGACCAAUCAGAAAAUAUUUUGAAGAAAAAUGAUUUCAAUCGAAUUUAAAGAAGCAUGCUGCAGGUGUGCACCGGAGAAAAACGGUAAAGCAGCCGCUUUACGUGGACAACAUGCCUUAAUAUUAGAAAUAAAUUACUUAUUGCAUAAAUAAUGUCGGUCUGAGUUUGAAUUGAUUUUCUAAAUAUAAUGAUCCUUGCUAUCUUCUCCUAUGAGAUUUGUAUUCAAAAUUAAGUGCAGCACUAAUAAAUGAUUUGAAAUACUUCAUUAUGAAAUCUAUGCGCAGGUCUUAUCGUAUUAUAAAUGGUCUGCACAUAUAAUUUAUCAUGACUGCGUCGAUCAUUAAUUAUUAGUGUCGCACAUAUUUUACAACAGCCAAAGUAACUGGUCAAAAUAUAUGUGCGAAAAUAAUAGCAAUAAUAUGCACUUUAUUCUGAGUGUACACAAUAACCUUUACAGAUUUUUGCCA